AAAUUUUUGUGCAAUCUUUUUGGUAAGGAGGUUUAACCAAUGCAUUUGAAUCAUUAGGAUUUGAAGUCACCUUCCUUCUCCAAAUAACUGUCAGCCACUACAUCAGCAUUGGAAAGUAUCUGAUUAGUGGAAGAAAAAUAAUGUAGGGAUGAGUUGUUCAUCUUGGAGAUAGGGCUUCUUCCAUAGACUAUGAAUUGCACUCUGUGUUGCACUUGAAAGUUUCAAAUGCCAAGCAACAAAUCAAGUAAUCAACCAUUCACAUUUGUUAGUAGAGAAGAAUUGUGUUGGAUAGUCAGACUAGCCAGUGAAAAGCCAUUUCUUAAACCUUCAUCAACAUGAACACCUUAACUCCACAAUCUAACACGACAACUUUUUGUAAAGGCCCUAAAUAGAGUUAUAUGGCAACCAAGAUUAAUAUGUUCUAAUCUGAGAUUAGGAUGUGAGCUAUAUUUGGG
rnacentral:misc_RNA from 1 species